UUGAGCGGCCCAGGAGAACCGCUUCCAGUGCGGCGCGGCUGCUGGGUCCCCGGAGGAGCGAGCCUUCUCCGCCGCUUUGGAGAGCGGCGGGCUUAGCCCUUAUGGAACGCUUCUAGAAUCCAGAAAGCUCCAUUGUACUCCAUGCAAAACCCAAGCGUCGCCCAAUUGAUUCUAUGCAAAAUGGAAAUGGGAGACGGCGCCUCCAGCGAGGCGUUAGAAGCCUGCGGGGAUGGAAAAGCCAAGGAGGGAGGGAGAGAUUGCUGCCCGAAGAAUUUGCCUUGGCUGAGGCUUAGGGAUCGAUACACUGCCUGCAGACCCGGAGCAGCCUCCAUCUCCCCCAACCCCCAGCCGAGGUGGAGUUCGCAGGAAGGUCAUGCAGCCGUCCAGGUCUCCCGCACCGUUACUUUGGAGCUAUGGCCUUAGCUAUUUGAGACUGAUCUUGAACUUACGCAG
rnacentral:lncRNA from 1 species